rnacentral:rRNA from 1 species
UGGGGAAUAUUGCGCAAUGGGGACCGGUAGCACGCAGCAACGCCGCGUGCAGGAAGAAGGUCUUCGGAUUGUAAACUGUUGUCGCAAGGGAAGAAGACAGUGACGGUACCUUGUGAGAAAGUCACGGCUAACUACGUGCCAGCAGCCGCGGUAAUACGUAGGUGACAAGCGUUGUCCGGAUUUACUGGGUGUAAAGGGCGCGUAGGCGGACUGUCAAGUCAGUCGUGAAAUACCGGGGCUUAACCCCGGGCGUGCGAUUGAAACUGACAGCCUUGAGUAUCGGAGAGGAAAGCGGAAUUCCUAGUGUAGCGGUGAAAUGCGUAGAUAUUAGGAGGAACACCAGUGGCGAAGGCGGCUUUCUGGACGACAACUGACGCUGAGGCGCGAAAGUGUGGGGAGCAAACAGGAUUAGAUACCC